AUUGAACGCUGGCGGCAGGCCUAACACAUGCAAGUCGAGCGAGCGGCGGACGGGUGAGUAAUGUCUGGGAACCUGCCUGAUGGAGGGGGAUAACUACUGGAUACGGUAGCUAAUACCGCAUACCAUCUGAUGUGCCCAGGUGCGACUAGUUUGUAGGUGGGGUAACGGCCCACCUAGGCGACGAUCCCUAGCUGGUCUGAGAGGAUGACCAGCCACACUGGAAAUGAGACACGGACCAGACUCCUACGGGAGGCAGCAGUGGGGAAUAUUGAACAGUGGGCGCAAGCCUGAUGCAGACGUGCCGAGUGUGUGAAGAAGGCCUUCGGGUUGUACAGAACUUUCAGCGGGGAGGCGUUACCCGCAGAAGAAGCACCGGCUAACUCCGUGCCAGCAGCCGCGGUAAUAC
rnacentral:rRNA from 1 species